ACUGGAUGCGUGAUGUGCAGGGACCAAUACUGCGCGACGCGAUGAAAAUUAUCGGCGAAAUCGAUCUGCGCUUAAUGCUGGCGCAGGCGCUGCAUAUGGGCGAUGAGUGCCAUAACCGCAAUAACGCCGGGACGACGCUGCUGAUUCAGGCGCUGACGCCGGGGAUUAUUCAGGCGGGUUAUUCCGUCGAGCAACAGCGCGAAGUGUUUGAGUUUGUCGCCAGCAGCGACUACUUCUCCGGCCCGACGUGGAUGGCGAUGUGUAAAGCGGCGAUGGAUGCGGCGCAUGGCAUCGAAUACA
rnacentral:rRNA from 1 species